GUUUUCUGCGGGCAGCCCCUACAGACCCUUGCACUUAUCUGGGCCUGCACCUUAUUCAAGUGGAUCUAUGAUGGGAAAUAGUGCAGUGUAUGGUAUGCCACCCAUAAUGGAUCGCUAUGGCAUGGCUUUGCCAAUGGGCCCUGGUGCCAUGGGUCCAAGGCCUGGUUUUUUUCCAGAUGAUAUGUCUCAGAAGAAGGGUGCAGACACUACUCGCG
rnacentral:misc_RNA from 1 species